CUUUAUAAUUUUUGUCCAGCCUAAUUCCGUUCUCUUGAUUCCCAACAAAGCAGGACCAAUUUUUCUCUUAUUCCUAUUCCAAAAGGAAACCUGAUGCAACAUACAUACAAAGCCACUCCAAAAUAUAUACCCGACACACCCUGCGCGCGUUCUUCUUCUUCACGAAGCAAAAUCGUCAACACGAACAAUCCAGCGAAUCCAGUGCAAAAUCGAAGCCCACAAAUGCGACCCGAGUCCAGCAACUCGCGCGUCCCUCUUCUUUCUUCUAUCGUAGGAAGACCGUUGGAAAAUUCGUGGGUGUCAAGAUCCCGCACCUCAAGCGUCCUUACUCCAAAGAAUCGGACGUCUCUCCUCGUUUUUCCGUUAAAAAUUUUGUACAAGGAUUAUACUAUUGACAGCUUUUCACCUUAUCUCUUAAGGGAAUUCAAAUUUGGAAUUUCGAAUUCAUUUUCGAAAUUCAUCCCGUUUCCCCCUCAAAAUCGUGCCCUAUUUCUUCCUCUAUAUAAAUCCUUUUUGCCUUCAGUGUUUGGGUUUAUUUUUUCUUUUUUUUUUCAUUGGCAAAAUAGAAUGGCUUAGCACAAAAUUGAUACAGAGAAUAAAUUCAAAAUACACUUAAUAAUAGAGAAAAUAAUUUGUUUCAAGUUUUAGUUUCAUCCUUUCUGUUCAUCACUCGCCCAGGUUCAUUCGAGUUUGGGAAACUCGUGAAGUCAUUGGUGGUGGAAUAGCUAGUUUCAACUCUUUCGUCCCGGAUUCUCUGCCCGAAAAAGGGUAAUCCCUCUUCCUUUUAACUUUUCUUUGUUUCCUAUUAUGUGACUGGUUGUUCUCUUUAGUUUCUUCUGUGUAUUUGAAUCUUUCACUUUUGAUAUUGAGUCGUUCUUUAGACUCGGUUUCAGUCAGUAAAUGUUAGUUUCUUCUUGCUCUUUAGCUUUCAAAUAUAUUUAUGGGUAUUCAAUAUUCUUGUUCCUAAGGCUGAAGCAUAUGCUAUUCUUGAUGUUAAUAUGAAGUUGUUAGAUUUGUCACUCUGUUAGUUUAUUUGGAAAAACAUAUUUAUAUAGUAUGGUCUGUAAUGGGUAUUUGAAUGGUAUAACAAUAAAUAAUUUGUUGAUAUGUGAUUACUAUAGUUCGGCUUGAUCAUAAAUAGGCUAGAAAUCAUGAGAAACAAAUUUGCUUUGGUCUUGAGAAGAUGACUUUUUUUAAAAUGCUAAUAUCUAGUUCAUUUGUUCUAUUUAGUUUUGCUCUUUUGUCAUAUAUGAAAAAUCUGAUGUGAGAUCUUCGGUAAGGAACUACAAACAUCUAAAAAGGGUUAAUGUCUUACUUAAAUGUAUCCUUGUUUUUACAUUUGUUGCUAUCAUUGUUUUGACUUCACCAUGUUUACAUGCUUUACUUAUUUGGUGAUUUCUUGUAAGUAAUGUUAAGGUUAUCUCAUUUGAAUUGCCUUAUUCAUGUUUCAUAGUUGCAUUCUCUAUAUUGAUAUAGUAGAGUGCUCCUACAUUUGGUGCUUCAAAUGUCAUUAUGUGUUCCCUUAAUCACAUUUAAAUCAACAAGACUUAUGUUUUAUCUUAUUGUUUCUUUUGCAUGAACUUGGACCGAGUCCUAUGGACUCUCCAUCCCUCGCAUAUCAUUAAGUGGCAUCUUGAGUCGGCCUUCAUCAUUUUUUCUGAUUUCGAAAGCUGAAAGAAUUGAAGAGGAGCUGCAUUAUAAGUUCUGAAGGUUGAAAACAGGCUGGAAUACGAUCUUUAUACGCUGGUAUAUAUGAUUUAGUGUAAUAAAUACGUGAUUAAAAUUGGCAAUACAGGUUUCAGGGGUCAAUAUUGAAUGUACACAUUUGUUAUACGAUUCAAUAUACAGAAAAAUGGGCUAAUAUACCGUCCAUAUGCAGCAACAUACUUUCUGUGUAUACGCAGAUUUUUCUAAAAGAAAUAGGUCCAAAAGCCUUAAACAAUUUCAGCAGGUCCAAAGGGCUAAUGGGCUGAAACCCGUGAUUGUUGGCAAAGUUGUAGGCUUAGGACAGCUCAAUUGGUAAGAGGCGAUCUCCUUGGGAGGGAUGUAAAGGAGCCAUAGGUCACGGGUUCGAUUCUCCCUUGAGGCUGCAUGCCAAUAAGAGGGGAUUAAAAGAGCGAAUGGCCGCCCAUGGCAGAGACAAUACCUGAAUAUGUGGAUCUCGAGGGGGUUGUCACAAAAAUCUAUGGUUUAAUUUUACUAAAUUCUCACAGAUUUUUAUAAUAUGCAAAUUAAAAUAUUUUUAUUUUUA